rnacentral:lncRNA from 1 species
AUGGUUUCAGUGAUGAAAGUUGAGAAAGCUCCGCUACAAUCUUAUGCGGACAUUGGUGGGUUGGAUGCUCAAAUACAGGAGAUUAAGGAAGCAGUUGAGCUUCCUCUUACUCAUCCUGAACUGUAUGAAGACAUCGGGAUUAGACCUCCUAAAGGAGUUAUCCUCUAUGGAGAGCCAGGAACUGGGAAAACAUUGCUUGCAAAGGUAAACAUAUCUAUAUUUUGGUUGAAUACUUCAUUGGUUGUUCAUGGUCUACUUAAUAUGACUAUUGGAAUCUUAUGAUUAUUCGUUGAUAACUUUCCUUUCGCAUUCUUGCGUUUGGUUUGUUGGAUAAUGUCUUGAGUGGGAUUUCUUCAUUUUUGCUUACUUCAGGCUGUUGCGAAUUCUACUUCCGCAACUUUCUUGCGUGUAGUAGGAAGCGAACUGAUUCAGAAGUAUCUAGGUGAUGGUCCAAAACUGGUUAGGGAGUUGUUUAGAGUAGCGGAUGACCUUUCACCUUCCAUUGUAUUCAUCGACGAAAUCGAUGCAGUUGGCACAAAGAGGUAAUUAUGCUGUUGCGUUUUGUUCUUGAGGUAUUUAUCAACGAAAUCAAUGAUAACUCACAGAAAACUGUGCUGUUCUUGAGGUAUGAUGCAAAUUCUGGUGGUGAGCGCGAGAUUCAGAGGACUAUGCUGGAAUUGCUAAACCAGUUGGAUGGGUUUGAUUCAAGGGGAGACGUGAAAGUGAUUCUUGCAACCAACAGGAUCGAAAGUCUUGAUCCUGCAUUGUUACGUCCAGGACGAAUUGAUCGGAAGAUAGAAUUCCCACUUCCAGAUAUCAAAACCAGAAGGCGCAUCUUCCAGGUUUGUUUGAUGAAACCAUUCACUACUGGAUCUUUUAACUUGUACGUAUAAAACAAUUACCGAUACAUUUGGUUUUUUUUUCAAUUCACGUCAAUGCAGAUACACACAUCAAGGAUGACAUUAGCAGACGAUGUUAACUUGGAAGAGUUUGUGAUGACCAAGGACGAGUUUUCAGGUGCUGAUAUCAAAGCGAUCUGCACGGAGGCAGGGUUGCUUGCUUUAAGAGAGAGGCGUAUGAAGGUGAAACUCCGAAAUCAAAUUGUGGAUCUUGGUUUCUAUCUCAGCUUGUGUUCCUGGUCUUGCUUACUUCAUCUCCUAAGCGCUGAAACCGAUUUCUCUGUUGGUUUUGUGAUUGGGAAUGUAGGUAACGCAUGGGGACUUCAAGAAAGCAAAGGAGAAGGUUAUGUUCAAGAAGAAAGAAGGGGUGCCAGAAGGACUGUACAUGUAAAAAAAAGGCCGUUUACUAAAACAAGUGCCGGAUCACUUCAUCCACAGAACAAAUGGAAGUGUAGGCAAUGAAUGCUGCGAGUCCCAGUUAGCCAAAUUUCUAGCCUUUACUCCUUUGCUUUUGUGUCCAUCUCCAUAAUUGUUGUGCUUUAUAUACGCAUCAGUUUAGGUAUCCUAGCACUAUCAAAUUUACAAGACACCAGCAGUCCAGUAACAGUUGUGUUUUAUACUCAUUGUCGCGAAAAACACCGUCUUGUCUGGCAAGGAAAUGGCUGAUGAUGUGUCGAUGUCCAUAUCGCAAACAAUUUUAUGGUGUUUGAACACCAUUACCGUAACUGAGUGCAGCAGGGCAAUGGUCGAAGAUAGCGAUAUGCCGUUUGUAUUUUACUUCGUCCAGUCGGUAAUGGGUGCUACUAUUGCUAUAUGCAGUCUGUAUUAGUAAUGGGUGGGUGCUGCUAUUGCUAUAUACCGCCCGUAUUGUACUUCUUCCGGUCGGUAUUUUGAUAUAAUGGACUAGUAUACUCUUAAAAAAAUAUUUGUUGUUUUACUAAAAUAACUUUAUUAACAAAUCUACGAAGAAAGAUUAAGCAGCGCAAGCAGAAGGGUUCCGAGACGGCUGCGAGGCUGCCUACUGUGACGCCGCUAACCAAGUGCAAGCUGCGCCUGUUGAAGAUGGAGCGCAUCAAGGAUUACUUGCUGAUGGAGGAGGAAUUCGUCUCCAAUCAGGAGCGGCUGAAGCCUCAGGAGGAGAAGAACGAGGAGGAUCGAUCCAAAGUCGAUGAUCUCAGAGGAUCUCCAAUGAGCGUCGGGAAUCUCGAGGAGCUUAUCGAUGAAAAUCACGCCAUCGUUUCGUCAUCUGUUGGUCCUGAGUACUAUGUAGGGAUCCUCUCGUUUGUUGAUAAGGAUCAGAUCGAGCCUGGCUGCGCAAUCCUAAUGCAUAAUAAAGUAAGUCUGAACUGAAUAAUUGAUAGUAGAUGAAAUUAGAUGAACAUUACCCUGGGAAUCGACUGUUCGAGCUGGAAUUUUGAUUGGAUUAGUGAUGUUGGUAAGUCUCUUGUGAGAAUCUGAACGCUGUUUAUGGUUUGGUUAUACCUUGAUAGGUGCUUUCUGUUGUUGGGCUUCUUCAAGAUGAUGUUGAUCCCAUGGUUUCAGUGAUGAAAGUUGAGAAAGCUCCGCUACAAUCUUAUGCGGACAUUGGUGGGUUGGAUGCUCAAAUACAGGAGAUUAAGGAAGCAGUUGAGCUUCCUCUUACUCAUCCUGAACUGUAUGAAGACAUCGGGAUUAGACCUCCUAAAGGAGUUAUCCUCUAUGGAGAGCCAGGAACUGGGAAAACAUUGCUUGCAAAG